CCUACGGGAGGCAGCAGUGAGGAAUAUUGGUCAAUGGACGAGAGUCUGAACCAGCCAAGUAGCGUGAAGGAUGACUGCCCUAUGGGUUGUAAACUUCUUUUAUAAAGGAAUAAAACGAGGCACGUGUGCCUUUUUGCAUGUACUUUAUGAAUAAGGAUCGGCUAACUCCGUGCCAGCAGCCGCGGUAAUACGGAGGAUCCGAGCGUUAUCCGGAUUUAUUGGGUUUAAAGGGAGCGUAGAUGGGUUGUUAAGUCAGUUGUGAAAGUUUGCGGCUCAACCGUAAAAUUGCAAUUGAUACUGGUAGUCUUGAGUACAGUUGAGGUAGGCGGAAUUCAUGGUGUAGCGGUGAAAUGCGUAGAUAUCACGAAGAACCCCGAUUGCGAAGGCAGCUUACUAAACUGUGACUGACAUUGAUGCUCGAAAGUGUGGGUAUCAAACAGGAUUAGAUACCCCUGUAGUC
rnacentral:rRNA from 1 species